AGAGUUUGAUCAUGGCUCAGAUUGAACGCUGGCGGCAGGCCUAACACAUGCAAGUCGAGCGGUAGCACAGAGAGCUUGCUCUCGGGUGACGAGCGGCGGACGGGUGAGUAAUGUCUGGGAAACUGCCUGAUGGAGGGGGAUAACUACUGGAAACGGUAGCUAAUACCGCAUAAUGUCGCAAGACCAAAGUGGGGGACCUUCGGGCCUCAUGCCAUCAGAUGUGCCCAGAUGGGAUUAGCUAGUAGGUGGGGUAACGGCUCACCUAGGCGACGAUCCCUAGCUGGUCUGAGAGGAUGACCAGCCACACUGGAACUGAGACACGGUCCAGACUCCUACGGGAGGCAGCAGUGGGGAAUAUUGCACAAUGGGCGCAAGCCUGAUGCAGCCAUGCCGCGUGUGUGAAGAAGGCCUUCGGGUUGUAAAGCACUUUCAGCGGGGAGGAAGGCGNNNNNNNNNNNNNNNNNNNNNNNNCGAUUGACGUUACCCGCAGAAGAAGCACCGGCUAACUCCGUGCCAGCAGCCGCGGUAAUACGGAGGGUGCAAGCGUUAAUCGGAAUUACUGGGCGUAAAGCGCACGCAGGCGGUCUGUCAAGUCGGAUGUGAAAUCCCCGGGCUCAACCUGGGAACUGCAUUCGAAACUGGCAGGCUAGAGUCUUGUAGAGGGGGGUAGAAUUCCAGGUGUAGCGGUGAAAUGCGUAGAGAUCUGGAGGAAUACCGGUGGCGAAGGCGGCCCCCUGGACAAAGACUGACGCUCAGGUGCGAAAGCGUGGGGAGCAAACAGGAUUAGAUACCCUGGUAGUCCACGCCGUAAACGAUGUCGAUUUGGAGGUUGUGCCCUUGAGGCGUGGCUUCCGGAGCUAACGCGUUAAAUCGACCGCCUGGGGAGUACGGCCGCAAGGUUAAAACUCAAAUGAAUUGACGGGGGCCCGCACAAGCGGUGGAGCAUGUGGUUUAAUUCGAUGCAACGCGAAGAACCUUACCUGGUCUUGACAUCCACAGAACUUUCCAGAGAUGGAUUGGUGCCUUCGGGAACUGUGAGACAGGUGCUGCAUGGCUGUCGUCAGCUCGUGUUGUGAAAUGUUGGGUUAAGUCCCGCAACGAGCGCAACCCUUAUCCUUUGUUGCCAGCGGUCCGGCCGGGAACUCAAAGGAGACUGCCAGUGAUAAACUGGAGGAAGGUGGGGAUGACGUCAAGUCAUCAUGGCCCUUACGACCAGGGCUACACACGUGCUACAAUGGCAUAUACAAAGAGAAGCGACCUCGCGAGAGCAAGCGGACCUCAUAAAGUAUGUCGUAGUCCGGAUUGGAGUCUGCAACUCGACUCCAUGAAGUCGGAAUCGCUAGUAAUCGUAGAUCAGAAUGCUACGGUGAAUACGUUCCCGGGCCUUGUACACACCGCCCGUCACACCAUGGGAGUGGGUUGCAAAAGAAGUAGGUAGCUUAACCUUCGGGAGGGCGCUUACCACUUUGUGAUUCAUGACUGGGGUGAAGUCGUAACAAGGUAACCGUAGGGGAACCUGCGGUUGGAUCACCU
rnacentral:rRNA from 1 species